AUCCCCUGCGCAGUGAAGCUGGGCUUCCCGGGGAGUCUGGCCACCAUGCCGCCUCCUCUCCUCCUCUCCUUCCUCCUCCUCCUUACCCCAGGGGGAGUCAGGACCCAGACACCAGUGCUGGUGGAGGCCGAAGAGGGAGGCAACGCUUACCUGCCGUGCAUCACAGACCCCGCAGACUGGCCUCCCCAGCAGCUGGCCUGGUCCCGGGGGUCCCAGUCAGCACCCUUCUUAAAGCUGACCAUGAUGCUCCCAGGCCUGGGCGUUCAGGUGGGAUCCCUGGGCACCCUGCUGCUCGUCUUCAACGUCUCGGACCAGAUGGGUGGCUUCUACUUCUGCCAGCCAGGGCCCCUCUCCGGGAAUGCCUGGCAGCCUGGCUGGACGGUCAGCGUGGAGGGCAGCGGGGAGCUGUUCCGGUGGAAUGUGUCAAACCUUCACCACCCAGGCUGUGACCUGGGGAGUGGGUUUUCAGAGGGCUCCAGGUUCUCUUCUGGUCCCCCCACCAGCCCCCAGCUGUAUGUGUGGGCUAAAGACCAACAUGAGAUCUGGAAGGCAGACCCUGCAUGUGCCCCAGCUGGGGACAACCCAAACCAGGGCUCCAGCCAAGACCUCACCGUGACCCGUGGCUCCACACUCUGGCUGUCCUGUGGUGUGCCCCCAGCUGUCGUGACCACAGGUCCCAUCUCCUGGGCCCAUGUGCACCCCAAGGAGGGUAAAAACUCAUUGCUGAGCUUAGAACUGAAGGAAAAGCUCCCAAUCAGAGAGAUGUGGGUCCUGGGGACCCUCAGGGAAGGGGCUCUUCUAUUGCUACCCCAGGUCACAGCUCAAGAUGCUGGCAUCUACCAUUGUCACCAUGGCAACAUGACCACCGACUUGCAGUUAAAGGUCACUGUCCGGUCAGCACUGUGGCGCUGGUUCCUGAAGGCUGGAGGCUGGAAGGUCCCAGUUGUGACUCUGGUUUACCUGAUUUUCUGCAUGGGUUCCAUAGUGGGCUUUCUUCUUCUUCAAAGAGCCCUGAUCUUGAGGAGGAAAAGGAAGCGAAUGACCGACCCCAACAGGAGGUUCUUCAAAGUGACGCCUCCCCCGGGAAGCGGGGCCCAGAACCAGUACGGGAACGUGCUAUCUCUUCCCACGACCACCUCCAACACUGGACGCGCCCUGAGGUGGGCUGCUGGCCUGGGGGGCUCCGCCCCGUCCUACCGAAACCCUCACGGCGAAGACCAGGAGGCUGGAGCCGCGGGGUUCCGGAGCCCGCCGGGAGCGGGCCCGGAAGAAGAGGAAGGGGAGGCCUACGAGGAGCCGGACAGCGAGGGGGGCUCCGAGUUCUACGAGAACGACUCCCACCUGGAGCAGGACCGACUCUCCCAGGAUGGCAGCGGCUAUGAGAACCCCGAGGAGGGGGCUGCGGGUCCCGAGGAUGACUCCUUCUCCAGCGCAGCUGCCCAGUCUUAUGAGAACGAGGGUGAAGAGCUGGCCCAGCCAGUGGCCAGGACCAUAGACUUCCUGAGCCCCCACGGGCCUGCCUGGGACCCCAGCAGGGAGGCAACUUCCCUUGGUGAGAGAUACAGGACCAGGACACAUUGCCCAGCUGGGCCUGUCUUGCUCUCAGCUCUGCUCCCAGGCCUAACUAUGACCUUGACUCUGACCCCAGACCCAAGCCUGACCUCAAAUUCGAGUUCUAACUCUAACCUCAACGCCGACCCCAACCCCCAUCUUGACCCCCCCCCCCCCCCGUAUUCAUCCCCACCCAAUUCAUGAACAUCAUCACUGGCCCUGGUCCAGUUCCAACCUCAACUUUGACCUCCACCUCACCCCAGCCCUAGCGCAGACCUCAACUUUGAACCCAGCUUUCUCUACACCCUCCUCAAGACUUUGACUUCUUUCAUUUCUGUUCUUGACCCUUUCUGUGACCAUGAUCUUAAUCUAACCGGGCCCUAAACCUGAUGCCAACCUGAAUCACUCCUUUCUCGUGCACCACGGGUCCAGUCCAGCUUCCCACCUUCCUCUACCCCCCAGGCCCCCCUUCUUAGGCUGCACGGCCCACCCCCCCACACACACACUCUCAGCAUGGCCUCCAGGCCUCCAAUUCUCCUUCCCUGCCCAAGCAGGGUCCCAGUCCUAUGAGGAUAUGAGAGGGAUCCUGUAUGCAGCCCCCCAGCUCCACUUCCUUCGGACCCAGUCUGGUCCCAAUCAUGAGGAAGAUGCAGACUCCUACGAGAACAUGGAUAAUCCUGAUGGGCCAGAGCCAGAGUGGGAAG